rnacentral:rRNA from 1 species
UAGGGAAUCUUCCGCAAUGGACGCAAGUCUGACGGAGCAACGCCGCGGGAGUGAAGAAGGAUUUCGGUUCGUAAAACUCUGUUGUUAGAGAAGAACAGCGCAUAGAGUAACUGUUAUGCGUGUGACGGUAUCUAACCAGAAAGCCACGGCUAACUACGUGCCAGCAGCCGCGGUAAUACGUAGGUGGCAAGCGUUGUCCGGAUUUAUUGGGCGUAAAGCGAGCGCAGGCGGUCAAUUAAGUCUGAUGUGAAAGCCCCCGGCUCAACCGGGGAGGGUCAUUUGAAACUGGUUGACUUGAGUGCAGAAGAGGAGAGUGGAAUUCCAUGUGUAGCGGUGAAAUGCGUAGAUAUAUGGAGGAAAACCAGUGGCGAAGGCGACUCUCUGGUCUGGAACUGACGCUGAGGCUCGAAAGCGUGGGUAGCAAACAGG